CUUUAUUCUGAAUCCUUGGCACAAUAUUCAAAACCUUUUUUUCUUUCUUCCAACUUUUAUUUCAGGGUCGCGGGUAUAUGAGCAGGUUUGUUAUGGAGCUGUUUUUCUAUCUGGAAUGCAUGAAGUCUUAAAGGGUAUCUGUGAUUUUGUGCCUAUGUGUAUUUUUUCUGGAGCAAAGGCCAGAAGUUUCAUCAUCUUUUCAAAAAGUGAAGAACCAAACUGUCAUCCUAUUAUCACUGGAGGCUAUAAAAAGCCACAACAACUUGUCCGAGGUUCCUGGCUUCAAGAUACACUGUGUUCCCCAUACCUUGAAAGGUCUCAGGUUUCAGAUGAUAGCAAACUAGAAAAAUGUGCAUACAUUUUCAAAUGUGAGCAGGCAGGAGAUGACUAAUGAUAAGUGCAUUAUUUUAUGUGCAAAAAGUAAAACCAGACAACUCUCUUCCAUUUGAAAAUGUAUAAGCAUUAAGUCAGAAGUAACCAGCAAAAGCCUUAUUUGUGGGAAGUCUGUUGAGAGGGAACCAUUUCCAAGACGUAUGGGGAAGGUGGAAUUUCCUGAGCUGAUGUGAGAGUAUCAUUCCAGAGGGCCAUUAGAGAGGAGCUGAGCCCCUCUGCCGGCAGGGAAACAGUCUCUUGUGGAAACUGGGAAUCAUAUGAAGAAGAACCCUAACCUCAAAGUGUUGUGGUGAGAAUCAAGUGAGAGGAUGUGCUUAGCACACAGGUGUACAAGCAGUGAGGGCCCCGGCAUCCUGACCCCACAGCCUUUGUGGUUAGCCACUGCUCACUGCUUUCCACCUGCUAGAACGCCCUAGAAUAUUUGAAUCAGAGCCUCCAAAUGGAAAAGGGACAGUGAAAGACUUCUGUACAAGUCCCCAGAAACCAGGCUGAGGAAGAGGGAGAAUGCAAAGCUCACUUCAGGGUUUGGAGCUUGGCUCACUGGGGGAGAUGAAGUUGCCGGUAACAACAUGGAAAUAGCAAGAAGCAGGUUCUGGGGGACGUAUUAUGUUCAACCUGGAGCAUUGGAUUACUGAGGUGCAAGUGGGUUAUCUGGGUGGAUUUUUCUGGCAGGUGUUGGACUGCCAGAAAAAUGACUCUUCAAAGCUACAUGCAGACUGAGAGUGUGGGAAAUAAUGAAUCCCAUUUGGGCAAAUUCAAGUGUUGUCCUGGGUGGAGAUUUCUGGGGGCAGAGAGCAAACUAGGAAACAGAAAACAGAAGUGGGUACUCAUGAGUUCGUGGUCACAGCACUCAGUUUUCCUGCCUGCAGAGUGGGCACAUUGCUUUGUUCUUCCCAAGCUGCUGCUGAGGCUGCAUUAGGUCAGGAAGGGGAAAUCACCCUGUCGAUUGUGCGAGAGGCAGCAGACAGUGGCAUCAACCCCAGUCCCCCAAAUGCUGAGCAGGGCAGGAGAGGUGCAAGUGAAGCGCCCCCGUUUCUGUGUCAUAGCUGAGGAAAUAAUAAUUGUUCCCUCUUCUGGUUUGAACUGGCAUUUUGAAUAGACUCUAAAUUUGUACAUAAUCGCCAAAGGAAUGACACAGUAAAAACUGGAAUUUC